AUAUGAACGACUUUUUCCAACUUUCUUUCCUCUAAAACGACGACAAGACAGGAACAUUGUUAACCUACUAAUAUCCGAGAUUUCAACUCAUCAUCUUCCAUUAUUAAUCUGGUUUGGCAAGCAAAUCAACAUUGGUCUAAGUCUGUCCAAAGGGGAAAUCGAAUGAGGUGCGUUGUUUUGUUGACAGAAGAUAGAGAGCACAGGUGAGCAUAUACCCAAUGAAAGACUAUCGUGUAUGAGCAGUUUUGUGCUCUCUGUUCUUCUGUCGACACAAUCUUAUUCUCUCUGCCAAUCUUAUCUUCUCAAUUCAAACUAACACCACUUGUUCAUGAGGUGGAUGAGGUUUUGGGUACGUUGUUUUGUUGUCAGAAGAUAGAGAGCACAGCUGAGCAUAUACCCAAUGAAAGUCUAUUGUGUAUGAACAGUUUUGUGCUCUCUGUUUUUCUGUCGACACAUUCUUCUCUGCCAAUCUUUUCUUCUCAAUACAAACUAAAUCACAUAAAAAUGUUAAGCCACUUGCUCUUCAGGUAACACCACUCAUCUUCUCUUUAAUGAUAUAUAUAUAAUGUAUAUGAAAUGAGAUUUUUUCUUUCUUUUUUUCUGAUAUAUUCUACAGACGAUUGACAAUUUUUCAAAGGUUGAAUGAAGCUGGCUAAUUAAGCCUUAUUUCA